rnacentral:rRNA from 1 species
UGAGUAACCUGCCCUUAACUCUGGGAUAAGCCUGGGAAACUGGGUCUAAUACCGGAUAUGACUCCUCAUCGCAUGGUGGGGGGUGGAAAGCUUUAUUGUGGUUUUGGAUGAACUCGCGGCCUAUCAGCUUGUUGGUGAGGUAAUGGCUCACCAAGGCGACGACGGGUAGCCGGCCUGAGAGGGUGACCGGCCACACUGGGACUGAGACACGGCCCAGACCUCCUACGGGAGGCAG